CCCUUAGAUGUUCUGGGCUGCACGCGCGCUACACUGAAGCGUUCAACGAGUAUUCACCUUGCCCGGGAGGGUUGGGUAAUCUUUUGAAAACGCUUCGUGAUGGGGAUAGAUUAUUGCAAUUAUUAAUCUUCAACGAGGAAUUCCUAGUAAGCGCGAGUCAUCAGCUCGUGCUGAUUACGUCCCUGCCCUUUGUACACACCGCCCGUCGCUCCUACCGAUUGGAUGAUCCGGUGAGCUAUUCGGACCUUCGCUUCGUCGAUUUUCGGCUUUGUGAGGGAAAGUCUCGCGAACCUUAUCAUCUAGAGGAAGGAGAAGUCGUAACA
rnacentral:rRNA from 1 species